rnacentral:rRNA from 1 species
GACGAACGCUGGCGGCGUGCUUAACACAUGCAAGUCGAACGGAAAGGCCCUGCUUUUGUGGGGUGCUCGAGUGGCGCACGGGUGAGUAACACGUGAGUAACCUGCCCUUGACUUUGGGAUAACUUCAGGAAACUGGGGCUAAUACCGGAUAGGAGCUCCUGCUGCAUGGUGGGGGUUGGAAAGUUUAGGCGGUUGGGGAUGGACUCCCGGCUUAUCAGCUUGUUGGUCGGGUAGUGGCUUACCAAGGCUUUGACGGGUAGCCGGCCUGAGAGGGGUACCGGGCACAUGGGGACUGAGAGACGGCCCAGACUCCAACGGGAGGCAGUAGGGGGGAAUAUUGCACAAUGGGCGGAAGCCUGAUGCAGCAACGCCGCGUGCGGGAUGACGGCCUUCGGGUUGUAAACCGCUUUCGCCUGUGACGAAGCUUGAGUGACGGUAAUGGGUAAAGAAGCACCGGCUAACUACGUG